UACGGAGGGUGCGAGCGUUGUCCGGAAUCACUGGGCGUAAAGGGCGCGUAGGCGGCCUGGCAAGUGGAAGGUGAAAUCCCUCGGCUUAACCGAGGAACUGCCCUCCAAACUGCUUGGCUUGAGACCGGGAGAGGUGAGUGGAAUUCCCAGUGUAGCGGUGAAAUGCGUAGAUAUUGGGAGGAACACCAGUGGCGAAGGCGGCUCACUGGACCGGUACUGACGCUGAGGCGCGAAAGCGUGGGGAGCAAACGGG
rnacentral:rRNA from 1 species